GUUUAACAAAAACAUGUCUUUUUGAUUAUAAUUUAAAGUCUAACCUGCCCAAUGAGGAUUUAAAUGGCCGCGGUAUUUUGACCGUGCAAAGGUAGCAUAAUCAUUAGUUUUUUAAUUGAAAGCUAGAAUGAAAGGUUGGAUGAAAGAAUAACUGUCUCUAUUUAAAUUUAUUAGAAUUUUAUUUUUAAGUAAAAAAGCUUAAAUUUAUAUAAAAGACGAGAAGACCCUAUAGAGUUUUAUAUUUUGUAAAUUUUAAAUUUUUAGUAUUUUAAACAUUAAUUUUGAAUAAGUAUUUAAUUGGGGUGAUUGAAAAAUUAAUUAAACUUUUUUUGUAUUUUGACACUAAUAUGUGAUUAUUUGAUCCUUAAAUAAAGAUUAUAAGAUUAAAUUACCUUAGGGAUAACAGCGUAAUUUUUUUUAAGAGUUCUAAUCGAAAAAAAGUAUUGCGACCUCGAUGUUGGAUUAAAA
rnacentral:rRNA from 1 species